ACUCCUACGGGAGGCAGCAGUGGGGAAUAUUGCACAAUGGGGGAAACCCUGAUGCAGCCAUGCCGCGUGUGUGAAGAAGGCCUUCGGGUUGUAAAGCACUUUCAGUAGGGAGGAAGGUAGUGUAGUUAACACCUGCAUUAUUUGACGUUACCUACAGAAGAAGCACCGGCUAACUCCGUGCCAGCAGCCGCGGUAAUACGGAGGGUGCGAGCGUUAAUCGGAAUUACUGGGCGUAAAGCGCAUGCAGGCGGCCUGUUAAGUCAGAUGUGAAAGCCCGGGGCUUAACCUCGGAAUUGCAUUUGAAACUGGCAGGCUAGAGUCUUGUAGAGGGGUUAGAAUUUCAGGUGUAGCGGUGAAAUGCGUAGAGAUCUGAAGGAAUACCGAGUGGCGAACGGCGGCCCCCGUGGACAAAGGACUGACGCUCAGAUGCGAAAGCGUGGGAGCAAACAGGAUUAGAUACCCCGUGGU
rnacentral:rRNA from 1 species